AAAACUGAAGGAAGAAAAUGCAUUUUUGAAAUCCAAAAUCAAGGUCCUUGAGGACAAAUGCAGAGAUUUAGAGAAUGAGAGGGAUUUCAUGCGCAGCAGUCUGACAAAUGGUAAAAUGUUGUCUGUCUAAUAAAAAGCAAGUCAAUUUUUAAUAUGCACGCAUUUAAAUUGUUCAGUUUUAUAAAGAUUUAGGCCUAAUAAACAUUAUUUUUUAAAUAGUUUAAACAUUUAAAGGGAUAGUUCAUCCAAAAAUGAAAAUUACUCCAUAAUUGACUCACCCUCAAGCCAUCCUAGGUGUAUAUGACUUUCUUCUUUCAGACGAACACAAUCGGAGUUAUAAUAACAUUUAUCCUGGCUCUUCCAAGCUUUAUAAUGGCAGUGAACAGGGGGUGAGAUUUUGAAGCUCUAAAAACCCCCUGGAGCCGCAUGAAGUACGUUUUAUGAUCAAUGGAUGGACUUUUUUGAGUUUUAACCUCCCCCCUCCCCCAAGAGAUGCAGGGAGCUUCUUCCAAACCCCCCCAAAAUUUGAUUGCGAACCCUGACUCUNNNNNNNNNNNNNNNNNNNNNNNNNNNNNNNNNNNNNNNNNNNNNNNCUUCCGAUGAAGACUCUUCUGACCUGCCUGAAGAAAAUAAGAAGGUGAAAAAGAGAAGAAAGGAAAAGAAAAAAAAGAAAGCAAGGUCAACACUCCAUCCUCUUCAGAUGAAUCUUUUUCCACGUCUGAUUCAUCGGUUUCCUCUUCACCACAAAAAAAAAGAGGAAGCAUAAGAAAAAAAUCAAGAAAGACAGCAAAACGCAGAAUGAAAAAAAAACUAACAGAAGAGUGUUUCUGCCAGAAGAUGCAAUCCAAAGAUACAGAAAUGUCCUGCACUACUUGGAACAGGGAAUAACCAAAACGCUGGCUUACCACAAGUGUGGGGUGGACCGCAAAACAUACUGGAUACUGCAGCAAUAGCAGAGCUAGAAGCUCGUGACGCUGAAGCCUACAAGACAUUGCGUGAAAAGUUUCAUAGAGGCCAGAAACUGUCAGAGUUUGCCAAACAUCGCAAAGAAAUGUGCGCAAUGGAGCCACUUCGAAGCAUCAUCGAGGAAAAAAAGAAGAAUGGCAUGCUUAUCGACCUUUGCCAGAAAAAAAAGUAACUUGAGUUACACGUGUUAGAGAAACAUUGCCGAGGUUGAAGUUCAGGCAUACACAAUAUUUGCUGUCAUCUUAUCUA
rnacentral:lncRNA from 1 species